AUGUUGUAUCAGGUCAAA
rnacentral:snRNA from 1 species